UGUAUUGGCAGUUCUGUGCAACACUACACACUUCUCACUGGUCAGCAUGUAAGCAAUGCAGUAAGGAAGCCGGCAUCAGCCAGAGGAGACUGGCAGCAGCUGUGGCAUGCACUGCUGAGUUUCUUUCAUGGGAAAGCCAAGAAAGAGUAAUCAGAUUAUACUGGCUGUGAUGACUUUCUCAGUGUGCAACAAUGUGGCAUGUAGCUUUCAGUUUAUGCCUGUAAGCAAAGAGAAUUUGUUAAAUAAAUGAAUGUUAUUAUUAUUAUUAUUAGCAUCUUCAUCAGUAGUAGCA